rnacentral:rRNA from 1 species
UCUGCUCAAUGUUAUUUAAUAAUAAAUAGCUGCAUUUUUGUACUAAGGUAGCGUAAUAAUUUGUCUUUUAAUUAAAGAAUAGUAUGAAUGAAAAUUCAAGAAAAAAGCUGUCUCUAUAUGAAAAAUAUAAAUUAUUCUAUAAGUGAAAAAACUUAUAUAAAAUAAAUAGACAAGAAGACCCUGUUGAGCUUUUUCUAAUAACUAAUAUUUAGAUUUUGUUGGGGCAACAUAAAUUACUUAAACCAAUUUUUAUUAUAAUAAGAACAAAUUCAAUCUUUAUAUCUUAUUCUAUAAAAUCCUAAAAAGUUACCACAGGGAUAACAGGCUAAUUUUUUUUAAGAGUUCAAAUUAACAAAAAAGUUUGGCACCUCGAUGUUGGCUUAAGAUUCCUUUUAAAU